UAGGGAAUCUUCGGCAAUGGGGGCAACCCUGACCGAGCAACGCCGCGUGAGUGAAGAAGGUUUUCGGAUCGUAAAGCUCUGUUGUAAGAGAAGAACGUGUGUGAGAGUGGAAAGUUCACACAGUGACGGUAACUUACCAGAAAGGGACGGCUAACUACGUGCCAGCAGCCGCUGUAAUACGUAGGUCCCGAGCGUUGUCCGGAGUUAUUGGGCGUAAAGCGAGCGCAGGCGGUUUAAUAAGUCUGAAGUUAAAGGCAGUGGCUUAACCAUUGUUCGCUUUGGAAACUGUUAAACUUGAGUGCAGAAGGGGAGAGUGGAAUUCCAUGUGUAGCGGUGAAAUGCGUAGAUAUAUGGAGGAACACCGGUGGCGAAAGCGCCUCUCUGGUCUGUAACUGACGCUGAGGCUCGAAAGCGUGGGGAGCAAACAGG
rnacentral:rRNA from 1 species